GCAAGUCGAACGCGUCUCCGUUGAUGAUUUUAGGUGCUUGCACUUGAAAGAUUUAACAUUGAGACGAGUGGCGAACUGGUGAGUAACACGUGGGUAACCUGCCCUUGAAGUAGGGGAUAACACUUGGAAACAGGUGCUAAUACCGUAUAACAACCAAAACCACCUGGUUUUGGUUUAAAAGACGGCUUCGGCUGUCACUUUAGGAUGGACCCGCGGCGUAUUAGCUUGUUGGUAAGGUAACGGCCUACCAAGGCGAUGAUACGUAGCCGACCUGAGAGGGUAAUCGGCCACAUUGGGACUGAGACACGGCCCAAACUCCUACGGGAGGCAGCAGUAGGGAAUCUUCCACAAUGGACGAAAGUCUGAUGGAGCAACGCCGCGUGAGUGAUGAAGGGUUUCGGCUCGUAAAACUCUGUUGUUGGAGAAGAACAGGUGUCAGAGUAACUGUUGACAUCUUGACGGUAUCCAACCAGAAAGCCACGGCUAACUACGUGCCAGCAGCCGCGGUAAUACGUAGGUGGCAAGCGUUGUCCGGAUUUAUUGGGCGUAAAGCGAGCGCAGGCGGUUUUUUAGGUCUGAUGUGAAAGCCUUCGGCUUAACCGGAGAAGUGCAUCGGAAACCGGGAGACUUGAGUGCAGAAGAGGACAGUGGAACUCCAUGUGUAGCGGUGAAAUGCGUAGAUAUAUGGAAGAACACCA
rnacentral:rRNA from 2 species